CACGUAGGGCGCAAGCGUUGUCCGGAAUUAUUGGGCGUAAAGAGCUCGUAGGCGGUCCGUCACGUCCGCUGUGAAAACCCAGGGCUCAACCCUGGGCUUGCAGUGGAUACGGGCAGACUAGAGGUAGGUAGGGGAGAAUGGAAUUCCCGGUGUAGCGGUGAAAUGCGCAGAUAUCGGGAGGAACACCGGUGGCGAAGGCGGUUCUCUGGGCCGGUACUGACGCUGAGGAGCGAAAGCGUGGGGAGCAAACAGG
rnacentral:rRNA from 1 species